UUCCGUUCCUACAGCACUGCCGGGAACACACACACUUGAGCUUUAGCACGCCAUGGCUCAUUCAGCAAUUGAUCACUUUGGAUAAUCGUGGGGUUCAGUCCUCCAAAAAAAAUAAGAUCAUCCAUUUCCAGGGUAUUCAAAAUGUUGCUGAAUCCGCGCCAUGUUGAGGAACAAUGAUGCUCGAUUUCACGGCACAUGAGUCUGGUCCAUACAAAUUGAAUGUUGCCAGCAGCAUAACACGUAAGAAAACGUAAGUGAGGAUGAAAUGUAAGGGACAUUGUUGAGGGGAAAAAGGACAUUGUGGCGAGGAAAAAUCCCAGAGAAAAUCCCAAAAAAGUCCCACCAAACUUGAGCGCCAAAUAUAAAUUGUUUGAAUGUGAA